GGAAGUCUACCUUCUCAUCGAUCACUAGCUCGAUGCUGCAGCUGUGUGUCUAGUUCUUUGACCUGAGGUGCAUCGACAGUUCACCUUGAGUGUGUUAUAGUUUGACUACACCAUAACUCGAUCUCCUAGCCAUUCAGAAUCCUGAGGUAUAUGUUGGCUGUAGCAUAUUUAUUGUAGGAACCAGAUUGCACCAAGAUGGGAUCUAUCA
rnacentral:lncRNA from 1 species